rnacentral:rRNA from 1 species
AGUCAAGUAAUUAAGUGCAUGUGGUGGAUGCCUUGGCAGUCAGAGGCGAUGAAAGACGUGAUAGCCUGCGAAAAGCUCCGGGGAGGCGGCAAAUAUCCUUUGAUCCGGAGAUGUCUGAAUGGGGGAACCCACCUACUUUAAGGUAGGUAUUGCAACAUGAAUACAUAGUGUUGCAAGGCGAACGAGG